AUACGUAGGUGACAAGCGUUAUCCGGAUUUACUGGGCGUAAAGGGCGUGUAGGCGGUCUUGCAAGUCAGAAGUGAAAUUCCUGAGCUCAACUCGGGCGCUGCUUCUGAAACUGCAGGACUUGAGUGCUGGAGGGGAUAGCGGAAUUCCUAGUGGAGCGGUAAAAUGCGCAGAUAUUAGGAAGAACACCGGUGGCGAAGGCGGCUAUCUGGACAGUAACGGACGCUGAGGCGCGAAAACGAGGGGAGCAAACAGGAUUAGAUACCCUGGUAGCCCACGCCGUAAACGAUGAAUACUAGGUGUAGGGGGUAUCGACUCCCUCUGUGCCGCAGUUAACACAAUAAGUAUUCCGCCUGGGGAGUACGGCCGCAAGGUUGAAACUCAAAGGAAUUGACGGGG
rnacentral:rRNA from 1 species